UACAGAGGUCCCAAGCGUUGUUCGGAUUCACUGGGCGUAAAGGGUGCGCAGGUGGGUUUGCAAGUUCGAUGUGAAAGCCCCGGGCUUAACCCGGGAAUGGCAUUGGAUACUGCAGAUCUGGAGGAUCGGAGGGGGGACUGGAAUUCUUGGUGUAGCAGUGAAAUGCGUAGAUAUCAGGAGGAACACCGAUGGCGAAGGCAGAUCUCUGGGCCGUAACUGACGCUGAGGAGCGAAAGCGUGGGGAGCGAACAGG
rnacentral:rRNA from 1 species